GAUGAAGAACGUAGCGAAAUGCGAUAACUAAUGUGAAUUGCAGAAUUCCGUGAAUCAUCGAGUCUUUGAACGCACAUUGCGCCCCCUGGUAUUCCGGGGGGCAUGCCUGUCCGAGCGUCAUUGCUGCCCAUCAAGCACGGCUUGCGUGUUGGGUCCCGUCCCCCUCUCCCGGGGGACGGACCCGAAAGGCAGCGGCGGCACCGCGUCCGGUCCUCGAGCGUAUGGGGCUUUGUCACCCGCUCUUGUAGGCCCGGCCGGCGCUUGCCGACACCCAACCAUUUUUUUCAGGUUGACCUCGGAUCAGGUAGGGAUACCCGCUGAACUUAAGCAUAUCAAUAAGCGGAGGA
rnacentral:misc_RNA from 1 species